rnacentral:rRNA from 1 species
UCAGACGAUGCGUCAUGCAUAUCAAUAAGCGGAGGAAAAGAAACUAACAAGGAUUCCCUUAGUAACGGCGAGUGAAGCGGGAAGAGCUCAAAUUUGAAAUCUUCAAGGGUUUACCUUUACGAAUUGUAGCUUAAAGAAGUGUUUUCUGCUGAGGUUUUGGUAAAAGUUCUUUGGAAUAGGACAUCACAGAGGGUGAGAAUCCCGUCUAUGAUUGCGAUUUGUAGCUUUGUGAUACACUUUCAAAGAGUCGGGUUGUUUGGGAAUGCAGCCCAAAACGGGAGGUAAAUUUCUUCUAAGGCUAAAUAUUGGCGAGAGACCGAUAGCGAACAAGUACCGUGAGGGAAAGAUGAAAAGAACUUUGAAAAGAGAGUUAAACUAGUACGUGAAAUUGUCAAAAGGGAAGCGUUUAACACCAGUGUUGUUUUCUGAAAAUCAACCUCUGUUAGCUUUAUGCAUGUUUGUUUAGACCUAAUCAGCUAUCUUGCAUGUUCUAUUGCUUGCAGUGGUGCACUUUUCAGUUUACAGGUCAACAUCAGUUUUUUUUACCGUAAAAAAGUUAAAGAAAGGUAGCUCAUGGCUCCGGUCGUGAGUGUUAUAGUCUUUUUCCUAUGCGGUAGGAGAGACUGAGGUCUGCAGUGUAGGCUAUUUGGCUAGAUACUCAGGUGCUAUGUGAUACCAUUUCAUAAACAACUUGUUGAUUAUGUUUUGUCUAUUGCAUACUCGCUUGUACUAUCAUACCUACGCUUAGGAUGUUGACUGAUAUGUAGUCGUA